rnacentral:sRNA from 1 species
CUUCCCCUGAGCUGCAGGAAUGGCGAGUGGCAAGUAUGGCUCAGUCAGCUCCUAGCGAAGCCCCGAGCUGCAGUCCCUUUGGGAAGAAGAAGAAGUACAAAGACAAAUAUCUGGCCAAGCACAGCUCGAUUUUUGAUCAGUUGGAUGUUGUUUCCUACGAGGAAGUCGUUCGGCUCCCUGCAUUCAAGAGGAAGACCCUGGUGCUGAUCGGUAUCUUCUCAUUGCCCCAUUUGCACAUUUCUGUCUUUGUUUUCCUGCCUGCAUCACGUGCCCACCCCCAAAAAAGGCAGUGAGGAAGAAAAGAACUGAGGUCUCUUGGGUUCUCCAUAUAGAGCAGGUGUAAGGAAUUUUCUGAAUCCUCACGUGCACCCCACCUGGGUCCACCUCACAAGUGAAACUAAACCUUACAAGUUUCUCUACUAUUUAGCAACGAAUUAUUUUUGGUUAGGUUUCAUGCUGUCUGCUGGCAGUGAUAUGCUUUGUAAAGCUCCCUUCCCCCAAGCAGUGACUCUGACCUGAAACAGAAUAAGUCCUCGCUUCAAACCCAGGUAUGUAGGCUUUGCCUCUGGCGGACUGCUCACCUUC